rnacentral:rRNA from 1 species
CCUACGGGAGGCAGCAGUGAGGAAUAUUGGUCAAUGGGCGCAAGCCUGAACCGGCCAUGCCGCGUGCAGGAAGAAUGCCCUCUGGGUUGUAAACUGCUUUUAUUUGGGAAUAAACCUUUUUACGUGUAGAAAGCUGAAGGUACCAAAUGAAUAAGCACCGGCUAACUCCGUGCCAGCAGCCGCGGUAAUACGGAGGGUGCAAGCGUUAUCCGGAAUCAUUGGGUUUAAAGGGUCCGCAGGCGGAUUUAUAAGUCAGUGGUGAAAUCUCUCGGCUUAACCGAGAAACUGCCAUUGAUACUGUAAGUCUUGAAUUCGGUCGAAGUGGGCGGAAUGUGUAGUGUAGCGGUGAAAUGCAUAGAUAUUACACAGAACACCGAUAGCGAAGGCAGCUCACUAGGCCUGGAUUGACGCUCAGGGACGAAAGCGUGGGGGUCAAACAGGAUUAGAUACCCUGGUAGUCCACGCUGUAAACGAUGAUUACUCGUUUUCGGUCGAUAUACAGUCGGAGACUAAGCGAAAGUGAUAAGUAAUCCACCUGGGGAGUACGAUCGCAAGGUUGAAACUCAAAGGAAUUGACGGCGUGAGACGNGCGACGGACGACGACGAGGGAGGAGG